GGAUUCGAACCCACGUUUGGUUUGCCAGCUCAGCCUUCACUCUUGACCAUCCUCCAGGGUCCCCUCCCCAGCCCCGGCUCCCAGGUUCCCUCCGCUCCCCGUCUGGGCGUUGUGCCUCAGGAAACAGCUUUGUGUCCACUGGCCUUGGAACCAGCUGUAAAUGCUCGGGGUGGGGCAAGGGAGUCCUCCCCACCCCACCAAGUUUCAGAUGGGGGUGUAGAAACCGUGGGAGAGCCCCCAGGAACCCCUAGCUGGGCUGAGGCCUGGCGUGGAUAUCCUGGAGGCCAUCUUGGAGACAGCAGCCAGGCUUCCAGACUGGGCACGCAGGCAGUCCAGGAGCCCUGCAUGAGCUCCUUUCAACCUUCUCCAUCAGCGCUCGACAUGGUCGGGGUACCUUUGUCAAAUGGAAACAACCAGAGGCUGGCGUAGUCAACGUUCCUGUUAACGAAAUGCCAGACUUCAUUUGAACUUCACCAGCUCUGCUGCUGCUGUUCCUCUGUUGCGGGACCCCACGUUGUAUUUCGUUGCUCAGCUGUUUGUAAAAUACGGGUUUCAUGUAUCAGAGGCCCAGCUGUGAUAGCUGGAGGGUGCUUGAGUAGAGGGCCGGGUGGUGUCCAUGGACCUCGGUGUGUCUGCCCCUGAACAGGAGGUCUCCAAGGUCAGGGGCAGGCUGGUGGGGGCCAGGGAAGAAUUGAGGCUCCAUCUGAGACUCUCCCGGUCCUGUGUGGGGUGAGGGCUCCAGGAUACAGCCCUGUAGAUAGUGAGCACCCCAUCACCAGGGGCAUGGAGGAGGUUCUGUCUGGGCUCCCUGAGGAGGUUCCAUCGGGCCUCCGUUCUAUUGGAUGGGAGAAUCUCCACCCCGAAACGUCCCACCCGGGCUUGGAUUCAUUUCUCAGGAAAGCUGUCUGGAGCACAUCUGUGCAUUGUCCCGGGGAUCCACCCGCGUCGCUCUCUGUUUUCGAGUCUGGGGAGCUAAGCUCUCAUGCUGGGCACAUGGGUUGCCUCUCUGAGCCUCAGUUUCCCUGUCUGCAAACAGGGGAUUACAGCCUGCAAUCACUAGAAUGCUGUCAUCACAAAGACAAACUGGAGCAAAUGUUGGCCAGGAGACGGAGAAGCUGGAAACCUCCGUCACCGCAGACCCAAGAGGGGAAGCCAGGCGUCCACACAAAAACACGCAUGUUCACGCUGUCGACAAUCGCCAGAAAGUGGAAACAACCAAAUGUCCACCAAAGGAUGAAAGCGGAAACACGGUGCGGUCCACCUGCAUGCGGAACGUCACUCAGCCGUAGAAGGAGCGAAACCUGGACACACGCGACAACGUGGAUGAACCUUGUGAACAUCAUGCCGAGUGUGAGAAGCGGGACACGGGAUGCCACUUGUUGUAGGAACGCGUUUCUGUGACGUGUGCAGAGCAGGCCAGCUGCCAGGGGCUAGGGGAGGCAGAGUGGGGGAGACUGCUCAUGGGAAUGGCGUCUCCUUUCGGGGUGAUGGAAAUGUUCUGGAAUUGGAUAGAGGCGAUGGUUGCACAAUACAGUGAAUGAGCUAAAAGCCACUGAAUUGUGCACUUGGAAAUGGUUGAGAUGAUUAAUUUUAUCUUAUGUGAAUUUUAUCUCAAUUUUUAAAAAAUCUAAUAAAAUAAGAACUUAAACAAAAAUAAGAUAAAAUAAAAAUCAGAGCAAGCCUCUGUGAUCACCCCUAAAUGGGGAGCCAGGGGCCCACACAUACAGUCCCC
ensembl:lincRNA